UUUCCCCCAGGAUAGCUGGAGUACAGCAAAAGCACAGUUAUAUUCGGUAAAGCGAAUGAUUAGAGGAAUUGGGAACGAAACGUUUUCAACCUAUUCUCAAACUUUCAAUGGGUAUGAAGUGCUCUGUUCAUUAACUGCAUGAAUGGUUGUUGCUUUA
rnacentral:ncRNA from 1 species